UACGUAGGUGGCAAGCGUUGUCCGGAUUUACUGGGUGUAAAGGGCGUGUAGGCGGGAUGGCAGGUCAGAUGUGAAAUACUCAGGCUCAACCUGAGGGGUGCAUUUGAAACCGCUGUUCUUGAGUGUCGGAGAGGAAAGCGGAAUUCCUAGUGUAGCGGUGAAAUGCGUAGAUAUUAGGAGGAACACCAGUGGCGAAGGCGGCUUUCUGGACGAUAACUGACGCUGAGGCGCGAAAGCGUGGGGAGCAAAC
rnacentral:rRNA from 1 species